rnacentral:tRNA from 1 species
CAGAGGGUAGUUUAAUUAAAAUAUUAACAUUGGAAGUUAGAGAUUAAGUUUAUCACUUACCUUUUGA